rnacentral:rRNA from 1 species
UGGGGAAUAUUGCACAAUGGGCGCAAGCCUGAUGCAGCCAUGCCGCGUGUGUGAAGAAGGCCUUCGGGUUGUAAAGCACUUUCAGCGGGGAGGAAGGCGAUAAGGUUAAUAACCUCAUCGAUUGACGUUACCCGCAGAAGAAGCACCGGCUAACUCCGUGCCAGCAGCCGCGGUAAUACGGAGGGUGCAAGCAUUAAUCGGAAUUACUGGGCGUAAAGCGCACGCAGGCGGUCUGUCAAGUCGGAUGUGAAAUCCCCGGGCUCAACCUGGGAACUGCAUUCGAAACUGGCAGGCUAGAGUCUUGUAGAGGGGGGUAGAAUUCCAGGUGUAGCGGUGAAAUGCGUAGAGAUCUGGAGGAAUACCGGUGGCGAAGGCGGCCCCCUGGACAAAGACUGACGCUCAGGUGCGAAAGCGUGGGGAGCAAACAGG